CCAAAUCCAAACUUAUGCCUUGCUGAGAUGAAAAUGAGUCUCUGAUCCAACAUUUAACAACACAUUUCUGUUUAAAAGCAGCUCAGUCAAACUACAUGGGCAACGUGUCCCGACUGCUGCGCCUCAGUUUGAUCCCAAGGGCGAUGUGAAGUGCUUGGUGGAUCUGUCCAAUGCUGUACAUGUUGGUUUGCAUUUGUCAUGUUGUCUGGUUGUAUGGUUGUGUUUGUGUUGUGCCGUUUUGUCCUCAGGGACUUCCUGGUCUGCCCACCCUGGCUGCAUUGCACAGCAAUCAAAUCCUGACUGUGAAGGGUGAUCAGGGUCAAGCAGGCCCCCCAGGACCUCCUGGACCUCCAGGCCCCCCUGGCCCUAGGGGACCCCCAGGGGACACAGGGAAGGAUGGUCCCAGAGGAGCCCCAGGUCAACCAGUAAGUGACUUGGUGGUCACAUGUAAAAGUGCAAAAAUAUAUCUA
ensembl:lncRNA